rnacentral:lncRNA from 1 species
GUUGCAGCAGUUCGUUACCAGCAGCAGCAGCAGUCUCAGCAGAAGCCCAAAGUUGUUUCAAUUGCAAAUUGCCAAGUUCAACAAUCUAAUCAACUUUGUCAAUUCGAAAUUAGAGCAGCAGCAAUAUUUCAACUAUCAACAUAUAUAGGCAUGCACGGACGUGAAACGAAAUCUCAGUUUUGACAUCUCAAGUGCCGGAUAUCCGGAUCGUUCAGUUCAGUGGGAAUUGCCAAAAGGAAAAGAAAAGAGCAGAGGCAAAGGAGACAUGAUGGAGUGAGAAAUUCGCCUUUCACCUUUGUGUGUUUGAAUAAAGAAUAACACGCUAAUUUGUGGCCAUCUCUCUCUCUCUAUAGCCACUGUGACUCGUGUGUUUUUGUUUGGACUGGGCAGAUGAUCGAUUGGGUCGCCACUUGACGACCUUUCUCCCAUCUUCCGAUGAAUAUUUACUACUCCCGACGAAUGGCCAAGAGAAUAUGAUGCAACCGCGAUCGAUAAUCGAUGUCAUUCACAUGUCUGGUGGAACAGCCCGGAAGAUGAUUUUUCCAUCCUGAAAUAGGAUCAGGACAACGUUGUUUUUUAGCCACCGGAGCGGUUGGAAGGAGUGAAUUGCCCUGUGACGCCAUCCUGCGGAUCUCUACGGAGGUAAUAUUCUAUUACUUAACAAGAGAAUCUAGCGUUGCAGGUGUGUACAGUAGCCGAGGUGUGUGUAUACCUGAUGUAUAGGACCCCACGGAGAACUAUAACUCUUUAUAUUAUAGACCUCUCUCUCUCUCAGCUGUUUUAUUUUUACUGCUGAAACGCUUGUCGAGGACUCGGUAUCAUCCGGAGUCGGUCCCAAUGGACGUUUGAAAGUGCUGUUGCUCUUUCCAUUCACUCGAUUCGACAAGACAGCUGGACCAACUGUUCCCAUUUGGAAUUUGACGGCUCGACCGGCUACUGGGCAGCAGCACUCAUUUAAUCACCACUUUCUGGGUAUUAUCAGCUCUGACGUUGAUCCCUUUUCCCCCUGGCAGUGCUCUGACGGAACAUUGGGAGAGUGGACUGUUGGGGGCUAACCUACUACUUCUGUUGCAUCACAAAUGAAGUCGCCAGCAUAUCCUUUAUAGAUAUCGAAUGGAAAGAAAAAUAUCAGAUUGUGAGAAACUUAGUUUGGAUAUUAUAUUUGUAGACGGACGUAAAUUCUUGAAGAAACCGCUUGCUGGCCCUGCUGAUAAAGAAGAUUCCCCCCCUAUAUGUAUAUAUAAGACGCGCGCGCAUUUGAAAUCGGGUUAGCUUUUUGUGUAUAUCAGAUGGGCUUAAUAUCCGGCAGUUUUUCAUUCUUCUUUUGCGCUGUGUGACAUUUCCAAGAGUGGAAAGAAGAAGAGCGGCCCGAUGGAAUUAGAAUGAAGCUUGCAUAUUAUACUAUAUAGAACCGUUUUCAAUUCCAAAUCGAUAUACAACAGAGAGUCUGCCCACUGCCUGGCCCUUGUCUUCUAGACUGAUCAAUACAAAAAAGAAAAGAUAUUGGAGGGAAAUUUGAGAAGAAAUCGACGCCUAACUGGCGUCGUGUAUUGCUAAGAAGAACAAAGGACAUGGGGAUCUCAACAUAAAGCUCAGCAUUGGGUAGCCAAAAAUAAAAAAAAUGUUGCUCAUUUUUCUUGGUCAUCCGCUUGAAAAGAUUCUCGCCAGG